rnacentral:rRNA from 1 species
CGAAGUCAAGAGGAGCUUGCUCUUUUUGACUUAGUGGCGAACGGGUGAGUAACGCGUGAGGAACCUGCCUCAAAGAGGGGGACAACAGUUGGAAACGACUGCUAAUACCGCAUAAGCCCACAGCUCCGCAUGGAGCAGAGGGAAAAGGAGCAAUCCGCUUUGAGAUGGCCUCGCGUCCGAUUAGCUAGUUGGUGAGGUAACGGCCCACCAAGGCGACGAUCGGUAGCCGGACUGAGAGGUUGAUCGGCCACAUUGGGACUGAGACACGGCCCAGACUCCUACGGGAGGCAGCAGUGGGGAAUAUUGCACAAUGGGGGAAACCCUGAUGCAGCGACGCCGCGUGGAGGAAGAAGGUCUUCGGAUUGUAAACUCCUGUUGUUGGGGAGGAUAAUGACGGUACCCAACAAGGAAGUGACGGCUAACUACGUGCCAGCAGCCGCGGUAAAACGUAGGUCACAAGCGUUGUCCGG